CAGCUGCGCCAGAAAAGGAAACGUUUAUUUUGAGGAACUGGGUUAGGCUUUGGGGAUGUAAUGGUGAGCAAGCAGGCAGUGUUUCUGCUCUUAUGAGAUUGAUGAUGAGCAGACAGAAGGCAAAGCCAUGAGAGAGCAGGAAGACACUGAAAGAAUUUAAGGACAAUGAUAAGACAUGGCAUCCUACCCAGUGUGAUGCUCAGCAAGGAACACAUGAGAGUGCAUGACAGGGGCCAGAAAGACUGUCACCUGGGGUGGCUCUGUCAUCCCCAGACAACAAAGUGAGCACUGUAUCCCUCUCCUGGAGCCAUGCAGUGCACUACCUGCCCAAUGACACAUGAAGUCACAUCUUCCCUGGACUGUCCUUGACCUGUGAAAGACUUUUGCUGAGAACUGCCAGUAGGAGGAGGCAACACUCUCGGUAAAGCAUGUUGCACAUUUAUUUUAGACCAAACCUGGGGAACUUGGAGCACCCUUGGGACCUGCAUCUACUUCAGGAGGAGCGCUGAGAUGUGCACUGACUUCACCCUCAGAGGAGAAAUCCAACAUCAGCCCAGUGGGCCAGAAAAGACUGUGAGGAUUAGAAAGCAGAGGGGGAUUUGCAAAGAGACUCAAGUACUUGUGGCCAACCCACCUUGGCCCUCACACAGAUAGCAUGGGGAUGCUCUGCACUGAAAAUCCUGGUACUCAACUUCCUUAAUAAAGAAAUGCAAACUCAAAUCACAGUAUGCUACAAUAUAUCCACCACAUUGACUAUAAUUAGAAAU
rnacentral:lncRNA from 1 species